rnacentral:rRNA from 1 species
UACGGGGGGGGCAAGCGUUGUUCGGAAUUACUGGCGUAAAGGGCUCGUAGGCGGCCAACUAAGUCAGACGUGAAAUCCCUCGGCUUAACCGGGGAACUGCGUCUGAUACUGGAUGGCUUGAGUUUGGGAGAGGGAUGCGGAAUUCCAGGUGUAGCGGUGAAAUGCGUAGAUAUCUGGAGGAACACCGGUGGCGAAGGCGGCAUCCUGGACCAACACUGACGCUGAGUGAGCGAAAGCCAGGGGAGCAAACGGGG